ensembl:lncRNA
CAUUUCAACUGCAUUUGGAGGAGUUCCUUUUCCAGAUACUCAGUGCACUCAGAUUCAUUCCCGAGCUAUUAGCUUCGACUUCCAGAAUCCAGUGCAAGUGAUCAGAGGGCCAGUUUGUCUCUGCUAGGUGUUACUUUCCCAGCAGAAAUGUCCUCAGAGUCUUGUAUAAUACAGUCACAAGGCUGUACCCAGGAAUGGAAUCCAUUGCAGGAGAAUGUUGGGCAGAAUGUAAACUACUGGAUGGACCAUGGGUGUUAUCUACAUAUGACAACUUUUUGCAUACUCAUUUAUAUUUCCUAUCUGGGAAAUGAAGCCAGAAUCCACAGAUGUCCUUAUCCAUCUGCACACUUUUGUUUACUACCCAGAAGUGAAAUAAAUACAUGGACAGAAAAUUCCAAGCAUUGCUUCCAUGGAAGGGAUUGCAAAGGAGAUGGUACUGUUACGGUGAUACUGGGACAGGGGAGCUGAG